UUUGAUGGCGACCGGCGCACGGGUGAGUAACACGUAUCCAACCUGCCGAUGACUCGGGGAUAGCCUUUCGAAAGAAAGAUUAAUACCCGAUGGCAUAGUUCUUCCGCAUGGUGGAACUAUUAAAGAAUUUCGGUCAUCGAUGGGGAUGCGUUCCAUUAGGUUGUUGGCGGGGUAACGGCCCACCAAGCCCUUGAUGGAUAGGGGUUCUGAGAGGAAGGUCCCCCACAUUGGAACUGAGACACGGUCCAAACUCCUACGGGAGGCAGCAUG
rnacentral:rRNA from 1 species